UCUUACGGGAGGCAGCAGUGGGGAAUUUUCCGCAAUGGGCGAAAGCCUGACGGAGCAAUACCGCGUGAGGGAAGACUGCCUAUGGGUUGUAAACCUCUUUUUUCAGGGAGGAAUAAAAUGACGUGUACCUGAAGAAUAAGCAUCGGCUAACUCCGUGCCAGCAGCCGCGGAAAUAA
rnacentral:rRNA from 1 species